AAGUAUCAUAGAUGUGCAAUGCUGGAAAGGCCUUGGUGCUCAUGAGCUAUGUCUCUUUACCAAGAAGAGGUUUGAGGCUGAGUGGAAGUUUGCUAGGAAGACAAAGGAAAUAGGAAGUGGUGGAAGGCAUUUCUGGAAGAGGGUGCAGCAUGUACAAAGACAUGAAGAUAUGAGAUUUUGCAGGUAAUGAAGAAAAGAUCUACAUGCUAGAAAGGAAGAUGUGAGUAAGUAGAAGAAGGUAAGGCUGGAAAGAAAGUAGAGGAUAUACCAUGAUAGGAAGAGGGUUUUUUAGGGGAAACAAUUGAUUGCAGAAGGAUUAAGGCCACUGGUGAGAUGAAGCAUAGAGGUGCCUAUGUACAAAGAUGGAGAUGCACAGUGGAUCAUUACUGGGAACAGAAGAGUGCAGGAAGAAAUCAUAAGCAUCUGAGUGAACUUGAAACCAUGGACUUGCAUAAACUCUCCAGGGAAAAGGGCAGAGAGAGAAGCAAAGAAGGCCAAGGACAGAGACCUGGGAAACAUCAGCACACAAGCAAAAGAAACCACCAGCAGAAAACAAGUCAUUGCACCUAAGAGUUAUAUCCCCAGCCUCCACUCACCCUUCUCCAGAUUUUCUAGCAAGAAACUAAACAAAUGAUUAGGAUUUCCCCCAAACUCCCAGUACCUAUCUCUCCUUCUCAUAUUUGCUUUCCUCCUUCUCUUCCCUCCUCUUCCUUCCCUAGCAUCUCCCUCCAAGGGAGGUCUUGAUGAGCAGAAAACCCUCCACCUGGACUUUGCUUUCCCCAGGAGCUGCCUUGGUUGGAGCAGGGGUCAGGCUGGCAGAAGGUCCACUGGAAGGGCUGACUUUCAGAAGCUCCACUGGAGCCCAGCAAGUUGGAUGGCUUCUCAUUUGCCAUAACUGGUCUAAGCAUAUUGAUCAAUGAGAUGACCAUCCAGGCCACUACUGGCCUCCAAAAUGGAGUUAGUGCUGCAGGAAGCAAGAGUUCUCCACCCUCAGAAAGGGACUAGAAGCAUCUGAUAGUUGUGAGCAUUCAGCCAUUGGGGCCACCAAUGUUGGACAGUGCCUCCUGGCCUGGAAGCUGGACAACCUGGGCUGAUACCCGGUAGGCAAAGCCCUGGCCUUCUGAGACUGGGGCAAAGCUCGUCAGCAUUUACACCACCACCUCCUACCCCACCUUGGGAAACUAGAGAAAGCCAAGCCACCCCUAAGCUUUGGAAUUCCUCAGGCAGACAUCACCCUGAAGAAAAAUAGGGUGCAUCCCCACCCUGGACAUACUGAGCCUCCACCCCCGUAUUAGUCCAGGUUUAUUUGGCUCAUGGUUUCUGCAGGCUGUACAAACACGGCACUAGCAUCUGCUUCUGGUGAGGUCUCAGGAAGCUUUUAUUCAUGGCGGGUGGGAAAGGGAAGCAGAUGUGUCACAUGGCAAGGGAGAGCAAGAGAGAGAGGAAGGAGGUGCCAGACACAUUACAACAACCAGCUCUCACGUGAACUAAUAGAGCAGGAACUCACUCAUUACCAUGGGGAGGGCACCAAGACAUGCAUGAGGGAUAUGCCCCCAUAACCUGAACACCUCCCACUAGGCCCACCUCCAACAUUGGGGGUUGCAUUUUAACAUGAGAUUUGGAGGGGACAAAUAUUCAAACUAUGUCAACCCCACACAUAACUUAUGGAGGCCAAAUACAGGAGAGGUCAAGAGUGUCCUCUUAGGAUAGCCCCUCUAUCUGACUGAGGAGGAUACUCUACUUUCAGAAGCGGGGAAACCAAGGAUCCUGGGAUAGCGGCAAAAGGGAGAGGUCAGAGUUCCAAUCCAGCUAUGCAGCCUCACAUCCUUCUGGAGUGUCCCUCUCCACCAGCUACCUUCAGGUUCUCUAUCAAUAAAAUGAUGGUAAUAUCUACAGUGCAGGAUUAUGGAAAAUCUAGCAAGGAGCCCAACAUAUGGUGGCUCCUCAGCUUACAGCUGAUAUGCUAAGCCAAGCAUUUGCAACGUUGCUUUCAUCCCUUGGACAGCCUCCUGUCCUUCAGAGCUCCUCUUCCUGCUAGCAGCUUCCUGCGGGCCCAUCGAGGUGAAAUAAACUCUAAUAGCAACUGAAUAAAAGCUCACAUGCCCAGCUGUGGGAAUAAGGGAUGGAACGCAAUGGCAGUAUGAAAGUGAGAGUACCCCAAACCCAAGGGGAGCCUUGGGGAGAAUGAGGUGCCACCCUCCUGAGUUUCUCGCUGGAGCUCACUUUCAAAAGGCCUUGCUUUCAGUGGUUAAAUAAGGGAGGCUGGGACCACAUGGAUAGUGAGGGGCCCGGGACUUACUCUUCAGCAUAAAAUCGGCUCCCAAGAAAUGUCCCAUGGGCUUCUGACAUGGUCAAGCCCCUUCCUCAUCUCUAUCCCUAGACUCUUCCUCUAUUCCUUCAACAGAAAUCUCCCUUUUCUGGGACUUACAGAAUUAACUAUCUCAGCAAGGUGAACUUGACUGCCUGUGGGCUGUGGCCUGCCAUUUUUAUUGUUACAUGCAUGGGUGGGUGAGUGACUAUAUGUGUCUCUGUGUACAAUCCGGCAGUUCUAUCUUCCUCCUCAGACAGAUUUCUUUGCACCUCCUGCCUGCACCACUCCUACCUUGAACAACAACAACCAACAAUUAUAUUGUACUUCCCAUGUUCCAGGCACGAUUCUAAGCACUUUAUCUGUGUUACUUCAUUUAAUUUUCACAACCCUAUAAAGUAGAUAGUAUUAUUUAUUGCCAUUUGAGAGAGGAAGAAAUCAUGGCACAGAGGGAUUAAGUACCUUCCACAUGAUCACACAGCUAAUUAACAGCAGACGCAGGUUCAAACCCAGGCAGUCUCACCUCAAAGUCUGUACUUUUUACUUCUAAGGUACAUAGCACCCUAAAUGUAGAAAGGCUGUAACCCUCAGAGGUACAGCCCACCCCCAAAAUUCUUGCCCCAGCAUGGGGCAGAUUGCUAAAAUGGGACAGCUAUAAGCAGUGAGGGUGGGAGUGACCCUUAAGGACAUUCUCAGGCAUAUGAGGCAUAGCUUCAAAGAGAGAGCCUGAACAGAGCAGCCCUGGGAAACAGCCACGCAGACACACUAGCCUGGCACGUCAGCAAAGAAGCAGCCGACUUUGAGCUGGGCUCCCAAUUACCCUCACAGUCCACACGGUGACAAGCUUUGCAAAUACCGGCCACAGCCAUGAGACUAAAGAAGAAUCCUCAUGUGUGCACAGCUUGGAAAGGACACACACACAGAGAAAGAAUAGUCAUCCAUAGGAGCACCGUCUUUAAAUAGAAAAGAUAGCCUGAAAUACACCCUGAGCUCGCGGGUGCUCACACACACAGACACACACGGCCAGGGCCAGAGGAGUGACUGAACAAAUGCCUCAGCUGUGCUGGUGGCAACGGGAGGAAAUCUAGUGCCCUGGCAGCUCCUGACUUUCAGUUCCUAUUUAAAAUGUCUGAAUUGGGAGCAUCGACAAGCUCCCAAAUUAGCUUUUUAAAUAGAAGCUGAGAGUUAAAGGAAAAGCGGCCGUGUCAUGGGGGAAAAGCAAGUGAAAAUCCCGGCCAGGCCGGGACCAGAGGCAGAGGGGGAAGGUGAGGACAGGCAGUGCUGGAAAGAUGCAAUAGAUGACUGGGGACUGGUGGGAGGGACAGCAUCUCCUGGGCAGCAGGACUACUCCAGCUGCCCGAAUCAAGGGGCCUCCUUUCUCCCCAUCGCUUGCUCUCAUUUUGCAGAUCACCUGGUUGUAGGAAGGACUGGUAAACAAAACCCACACUGGCCUAGACUAGAAAUCCCAGUCUUUCCUAUUUUCCCUAGAUGGUUAAGACAGAAAGGAGAGAAUAGUCUACAGCUACCACACUUAAGCAAUGAGUUACGAGCUUAUGAGGAAUGAGGGGGCAGGUGUCUGGACCAGUGUCUGGUCUUCAAACGGAGCUUACGAGUCUCAGGAGGCCACAACUGUCCCAUUAGUUGACUUUCUGAGGAGAAAUGAUGUGCCC
rnacentral:lncRNA from 10 species